rnacentral:rRNA from 1 species
GAUGAACGCUGACAGAAUGCUUAACACAUGCAAGUCUUUGGCGAAGCUGUGCUCGCACAGCCUAGCCAAGGCGGACGGGUGAGUAACGCGUAAGGAACUUGCCCUGCAGUCAGGGAUAACAGACGGAAACGACUGAUAAGACCUGGUAAAGUCAGGCGGACUCAUGUCCAGCCUGAUGAAAAGAGAUGCUGCAGGAGAGCCUUGCGUCCUAUUAGCUUGUUGGUGGGGUAACGGCCCACCAAGGCGAUGAUAGGUAGCCGGCCUGAGAGGGUGGACGGCCACAAGGGGAAUGAGAUACGGCCCUUACUCCUACGGGAGGCAGCAGUGGGGAAUAUUGGACGAUGGGGGCAACCCUGAUCCAGCAAUUCUGUGUGCACGAUGAAGGUUUUCGGAUUGUAAAGUGAUUUCAGCAGGGAAGAAAAAAAUGACGGUACCUGCAGAAGAAGCGACGGCUAAAUACGUG